UACGGAGGGGGCGAGCGUUGUUCGGAAUUACUGGGCGUAAAGGGCGCGUAGGCGGCCAUGUCAGUUGGGAGUGAAAGCCCCGGGCUCAACCUGGGAACUGCUCUCAAUACUGCGUGGCUUGAGAACGGGAGAGGGUAGUGGAAUUCCCAGUGUAGAGGUGAAAUUCGUAGAUAUUGGGAAGAACACCAGUGGCGAAGGCGGCUGCCUGGCCCGUUUCUGACGCUGAGGCGCGAAAGCGUGGGGAGCAAACAGG
rnacentral:rRNA from 1 species